UAGGGAAUCUUCCGCAAUGGACGCAAGUCUGACGGAGCAACGCCGCGUGAGUGAAGAAGGAUUUCGGUUCGUAAAACUCUGUUGUUAGAGAAGAACAGCGCAUAGAGUAACUGUUAUGCGUGUGACGGUAUCUAACCAGAAAGCCACGGCUAACUACGUGCCAGCAGCCGCGGUAAUACGUAGGUGGCAAGCGUUGUCCGGAUUUAUUGGGCGUAAAGCGAGCGCAGGCGGUACAUUAAGUCUGGUGUGAAAGCCCCCUGCUCAACAGGGUAGGGUCAUUGGAAACUGGUUGACUUGAGUGCAGAAGAGGAGAGUGGAAUUCCAUGUGUAGCGGUGAAAUGCGUAGAUAUAUGGAGGAACACCAGUGGCGAAGGCGACUCUCUGGUCUGUAACUGACGCUGAGGUUCGAAAGCGUGGGUAGCAAACAGG
rnacentral:rRNA from 1 species